GACGAACGCUGGCGGCGUGCUUAACACAUGCAAGUCGAACGGAAAGGCCCUGCUUUUGUGGGGUGCUCGAGUGGCGAACGGGUGAGUAACACGUGAGUAACCUGCCCUUGACUUUGGGAUAACUUCAGGAAACUGGGGCUAAUACCGGAUAGGAGCUCCUGCUGCAUGGUGGGGGUUGGAAAGUUUCGGCGGUUGGGGAUGGACUCGCGGCUUAUCAGCUUGUUGGUGGGGUAGUGGCUUACCAAGGCUUUGACGGGUAGCCGGCCUGAGAGGGUGACCGGCCACAUUGGGACUGAGAUACGGCCCAGACUCCUACGGGAGGCAGGAGUGGGGAAUAGUGCACAAUGGGCGGAAGCCUGAUGCAGCAACGCCGCGUGCGGGAUGACGGCCUUCGGGUUGUAAACCGCUUUCGCCUGUGACGAAGCGUGAGUGACGGUAAUGGGUAAAGAAGCCCCGGCUAACUACGUG
rnacentral:rRNA from 1 species